UACAGAGGUCCCAAGCGUUGUUCGGAUUCAUUGGGCGUAAAGGGUGCGUAGGCGGCGCGGUAAGUCGGGUGUGAAAUCUCGGAGCUUAACUCCGAAACUGCAUUCGAUACUGCCGUGCUUGAGGACUGGAGAGGAGACUGGAAUUUACGGUGUAGCGGUGAAAUGCGUAGAUAUCGUAAGGAAGACCAGUGGCGAAGGCGGGUCUCUGGACCACUACUGACGCUGAGGCGCGAAAGCUAGGGGAGCAAACAGG
rnacentral:rRNA from 1 species